AUUUACACAAACCAUCAAUAAGGGAAUUGUAAGUUACCACAUCAGGAAUAAUGUUUUUGCAAUGCAUUUCUUUAAAGAGAUUCAUGGCUUCAUCAACCUUUUUAAUCUUACAAAACCCGUUAAUCAUGAUAUUGUAGCUCUGAACAUUAGCAGUCACUCCCCCCUGAGCCAUAGUGUUGAAUAUACUCUUAGCCUUAUUCACUUGUUUAACUAGGCAAUAUCCAUCCAUUAAAGAGCAAUAAGUAACAACAUCAGGUUUAAUGCCUUGUUUCAUCAUCAUAGCUAACACAUUUUUAGCUUCUUUCACCCUUCCUUCCUUACAAAAUCCAUCAACCAAUAUACUAAAGGUAUACACAUCAGGGUUGAUUUCUUCCGAUAUCAUUUUAUUGAACAAACCAAUUGCAUCAUUCAAUUUACCAAGAAUGCAAAAACCACUAAUUAAAGCACUGUAAGUAACAACAUCGGGAGAAAUCCCCUUAGAAACCAUUUCAGAAUAUAAAUCAAAAGCUUCAUUAACAAGUUUAACUUUGCACAUGCUAUCAAUAAUGGUGUUGUACAUUACCACAUUAGGUUGAACCAAUUUACCAUCAACUCGUCUCAGCAAUUGCAAAGCUGCACUUGUUUGUCCAACUUUACAUAACCCAUUGAUCAAAGUCCCAUAACAAACUUUGUUUAAAUGAAAUCCAAGCGCAACCACCUUAUCAUGAAAGUGCAAGGCUUGAUGAAUCUGACCUUUGAGACACAGACCCUUAAUGAGUGUGGUUAAAGUUAUGGCAUUUGGUUCAUAACCCUUUUUGAGAAUGUUGGCAAAUACAGAAAAAGAAAAAUGGGUAUGACCCAAUUGAGAAAAACAAUUGAUGAGGAUGUUGAAAGUGACCAAGUCUGAAGCAAUUCCGUUGAAUUCCAUUUCUCGAUGAAGUGAAAUAGCAGUUUGGUAACAAUUAAUCUUAACAAGAGAACCUAAAAUCUUUCCAAAUUCAAAGAUGGGGGGUGUAGGGUUGAUGUUCAGGAUGCGAUUGAAGGAGGAAACGAGACUGUGUUCAUCAUCUUGGUGAUGAUGAUGUAAUUGAGAGUAUAAACUUGUUGAAAUGAUGAAUUUAGGGUUUGGAAAUUGAAAAUGAGAAACUGAGAAAGGAACAAACCGAAUCAUUUUUGUGAAUGAAUCUUGUUUGAUAUGAUGAUGAUGAUGAUGAUACAGUUUACACUUUACAACCACCACUGAGGUUUUACAAUUGUUGAGAGCAAAAGGAUACGAUGCAAGUGUACAGAUCUCACUCAAUAAUGUUUACACGCUCAAAUCAAAUGUCACAGUUUUGUGCUUCUAUGUGUUUACUUUGGGGACGUAUCAUAUGCGGAUUGAGAGACUUAACAACAAAUCUCCCUCAUAGAACAACUACAUUGACAAAGAUGACUCGGUCCUUGACGAAAGGCAACACUUGGUAUCUUUGGAGGAGUUUAGGAUAUUGAUUUUUGUUCAGAGAUAAAGUGACAAUUUUCUACUAUCACUUUAAUCUCCUAUACACCUCAUACUCCUUGUUAUCAUAAAUUUUUUGUCACGUUAUCAGUUAACAAAAUCAUUUAUCUUCAAAGAUUAAAGUGAUAAUGGAAAUGCACAUUAAGGAACUACUUUGUCUUUAAUCCUGAGUAAGAGACUUUGUGAGAGCGAGGUGCAUAACCAAGGACCAAAGUGACCAUUUAUAACAAACACAAUAAGAAUAUGUGUACAUCUUUUUUUCCUUAAUGCUUUAAAAAACGUAAUAAACUAGAUCGAGUAUAUCUAUAUUAUAUAUCUAUAAUAUUUAUAAAAAAAAUAAGAUUUUUGGCAGACCUUUUCAUUAUCUCAAUUAUACCCAAACAAUUUUUUCUAUAAUAAUGAUUGUUGUUGGUGUCAUUGAAAAUAUAAGAAUUUAAAUUAUAUUUUUUUUGGUUAUAUUGUUGGUGUCAUUUAAAUAGAUAAAUAAUGUUAUAUUGGUUUGAUAUAGUUUGAAAGCAACAAUAAUUUAUAUUUAUGUUUUUAAUCAAAACCAAAAUUUCAUAUAAAAACAUCAUUUAUAAUUUUCAAACUUUAGCAUAAUAUUAAAAGCAGAAGGACGAACAUAUGAGUGUCCAUCUUUUCGCUAGUUAGUAUAAGUGGUUUUGUUUGAUUUCCAAUCUUGAAGGAUAUGGUUAGAAGGUAUUUAAUUUACCUUAUUUACUUGGAUAGAUACAUCUAAACUGAAUUGUUCAUGGUUGCCCGUUGAUGAAGACUUUUCAUGUGAUCUUUCUUUUUCUCCAUGUGUAAUAUAAAUGAUAAAAAAAAAAAACUGAAAGCGUCAGACAUUGAUUCAGUUUGAUAUGUAGUUUUUGUAUUAAUUCAGUUUGACAUGUAGUUUUUGUAUUAUUUUGCAUAAAGGCAUGUUAUGAACUGUUUAUGUAUUAUUACAUCAUUAGCAAUAACUAUAGUUACUUCAAUUAUACUUUUAUUUUUUUAAAAAGCAAAAAGUUGAACAAAAGACAUCCAUAAUUCAUCGGAGAAGAUGGAUGGUGACUGAAACCUGACAUUUAAUCAAAUGUCACAUCUCUCUCAUACUCGGUUUCAAACUAUUAGUUUAAACAAUCAAAUAAAGUUAGAAAAAAUCAACACAAUUCACCAAUUCUUUCUUUUGUUUUUCUCACCUUGAUGUUAUUGUCUCCAUAGAAAUCAAUGGCAUAAUAGUAUGAUCCUAUAGAAGAGAUCGUGUUCAAAAUUGCUAAAUGGUUGAGUCACUCAGACAUGCUCAAAAUAUUAUUGAUUAUGCAUUUAUAGAAUAGACAUGAAGAGAAAUGAUAGCAAAACUCUAUAAAAUUAAUUGUAGAUGUAAUUCAUAUAAACAUGCAAAAGGUCAAAACCACAAAGCAGGUGACAUACAUUAUGGAUAACUCGCUUGAGCAAUCACAAGUGCUAUAAAUAAUAAGGGACAGAAACUCCACGUCUUUGUCCCUCAGAUUGGAUUUAGUAAGCACACAAUCUGGUUCAUGGUUUGGCUAACUAAUAUGAUGACUUAAAAGGGAGUAUACAUAAAUACAUGCAGCAAAAAAUAUAGAAAAACAAAGUAUUACUCAAAUGUGCUGCAAAUAUAUAGAAAAACAUAGUAUUCUUUACAUUUUUUUUUAUGAACCAAGAGUGAGGUUAAACAUCGGGGGGAGACUGAACAUCCCAACUAGGUUGGCACCUUCAAGAAACCCCCAUCCUUUGCCACCAACUCAUAAAAUAUAUUAUUAAAAAAAUGAGAAAAUAUAUACAAGAGAGGGUACCAAACCAAAACCUUCCAAAAAAGACAAAACCAAGAGAGAAAAGAACUAAGGGAAGCGAUAAUUUGGGAGACCAUAGCGAUCUCUAAACAAAUCGUCCUGAAUCAACUUGGGCAAAGAAUCCCACCAAAGCAUCCCCUGAAUGGUGUGACCGUGAUUUGCUAGCUUAUCCACACAAAUGUUACCCUCACGAAAAACAUGAGAUGAAAGAAGUUGUAUACCAUAAUUAACACAAUUUGCCCAACGAUUUCUCAGCUUCCACGAAACAAGAUCAUGAUUCCGAAAGACCAAGACAGCGCUCUUCGAGUCCCCCUCAAUCCAUAAAUUCAUCCAACCGAAAAAGCAAUUUCCAUGGCAUGAAUAAAUCCAAGCAACUCAGAUUCAAAAACCGAAAAAGAUCCAAGAUUACUAGAAAAGCAACCAACAAAAGUACCGCGAUGAUCAUGGAAAAUCCCACCGCAAGAGGCAUGGUUCCCCAAGACUGAACCAUCCGUGUUCACCUUCAUCCAAGUAGGAGCGGGAGGCUGCCAAACAACCGGAAUAAUAUCUUUGACACGACAAUGUCGCGGAUGCACUUGAAACGCAUCAAGAAUGCCAGUAUCUGACAAACUUGAUAAACAAUAACCUUUAGAUUCCGAACCACUCAUGGAAACCUGAGAAAUAAUUGUUGCUUUAGCACCAUGGGCAGCAACUCUAGCAUUGUUAAAACGAAUCCCAUUUCUAGCAAUCCAAAUGGCGUGGAGGGUAUGCACAAUACUAGAAACAAAGAUGUCUAAAGCUUGGGAGCUGAUUCUAGCUGGAAUCACUUCUAAUAACAACUCAAUGGAAGGGAGAUCAAACUGACGAUGUAACUGCUCACCUAACCAGCGCCAAAGGUCAACGGCAAACGGACAUGAUAGGAACAAGUGAGAGGCAUAUUCUGCUGCACCAAGACAAAGAACACAAACUGAUACAAUAGUGCAUCCUCGCAAACGUAAGUUCUCAUCAGACGGCAUUUUUCUAUGCUUCAGAUGCCAAAAUAUGAAAGAGUGAGAUGGCGGUAUGCAAGACCUCCAAAUAUUUGUUUCCCGCGAAAUCGCAGGAGGAACUGGAUUGAGGAACUGAAAGGCGAUCUUGGCAGAUAAAGCACCAUCUCUUGCAUGUAUCCACACCAACUUGUCAGGCAAAGGCGAGGUGGGCAAAGUGACAUGUGAUAUCCGAGACACAACAGCAGCAUCGUGUAAAACUGGGUGAGGAAGAACCCAUUGACCAUCAACAAUUGCAUCGGAAACUGUGCUGGAUAAAAGAGGUCGAACCGCGGGAGAUAUAUUCAGUAAAUCAACCAAAGGAGUACCAAUCCAAUUAUCAUUCCAGAAAUUAAUUUCAUCACCACUACCAACCAGCCACAAAGAAUUCUCCAUCACGGUAAGAAUAUGGAGUUUGAUACCAUACCACACAGACGAGAAGUAAUUAGACUUAGGCUUGCCCAACUUGAAGUAACGACACUUAAACAUUUGAGACCAUUCAGUAUUAUGCAAUAGGAGAUUCCAACUCAAGUGCAUGAUGGAAUUCUUUACAUAAAUAUGCUACAAAUUUACUUAAAAGGGAUUAUUGUUGCAGGCACAUGAACAGAGUUCUUGUUGCCCAUAUCAGAUUCAAUUUACUCUCUUUUACAUCCCCUUUGAAGCAGUAACAUAGAUUGUCUAUCAACCACAUCGUCAUUUCUCCCCCAACAUCCUGAACCAAACUCAGAACUGGUUUUUUGUGUUGUUGCAGCAACAAGACUCCCACGGCCGUUCGAAGAGAUUCAAAAUUAUUGAAUCAUCCAAGCCAAAACGAAAAGAAUUCGACUUUUUCUCUCCUUUUCCAAAAAAAAAUCGACUUUCUUCCUCAACAACUACUAGGUAAUUAUAUCAUCAACACACAUAAUCCCAUUACUCAAAUCAAUUUUCUUUCUCAUUUGGACAGAAAUUCAAGCUUAACAUCAAUCAUAAAACUAAUAUCAUCCAUGCAAUUUACACACCUGUUAUAAGUGGAAUAUCUAUCGUACAAUCACAAUAAUAUGAUUUCAGAAACAGUGGCUAGUAACAGCAUGUAUAUUUUCAGCUGGUAUUUCUAACCAGAAGAAGCAAAAAGAGUAAGAUACUAACUGCAACAUAAAUAAUUAGUUGUCAUUCUAUUUUGAUACUUCUAAUUCGUAAAAGUAAAUGGUACAAAAGUAAUACUGGAAGUGUGUGCCUCAGGUGUAGGACAAACAAAAUUUUAGCCUAUGGAAAUAAAAAGUAGAAUCCUGGAAGUGUGCCUCAAGACAAGUAAAAAAAUGGAUCAAACCCAAAAAAAAAUGGAAAACAAAAUAACAUUUCUAUAUGUAGUAGUUUAAAAUACAAAAUAGAACUGAUAAUGAAGAAUCAACAUGCAAAACCAUCUUCAGUCCUCACUGACACCCUCCACAAAGGGAUUGUGGCUGCUACUAUCACUGCUAGUCCACUAGUCCUCAUGAGUAAAGAUAGCAAAAACAUAACUACAGAUUUUGUUGUCCUCUCUCUUUUAAAAUUCUAUAAAGCUAUGUCCCCUUACCCUUAAUUUUUCAAUGCAAUCAGUUCUUGUUCUCCUAUAUAGACGAUUAUGGAAACUGCACUAUUCGAAUUCCCAACUUUGAGCUGGUUUCAUAACAAAAUAUUUGUUAUGAUACCAAACUAUUACACUCAAUAGCACAGCAACAACACUAAGAACAAUGAAUGUUGUUUCCUAAAACUCUAUCACCUCUUCUUCAUUUAUUUUACUUUUUUUUAAGUAAUCGAAGUAUAAGUUAACGUCAACAAAACGAAAAUAGAGUAUGUCAUGAGAUUCUAAACAACGAACAACCAAGCCUUAUCCCACUAAGUGAGAUAGGCUACAUGGGCCAAACGAAGAUCUAACCUUCAUCAUUAUGUGUCCAACCUUGCAUCAUCUCACUUUCUGUCCCUAGAAAUGGUUGGUCAAGAUCAGGCUACUAAUAAUGAAACAUUAAUCCAUCUUCAAAUCACUGUUUUUCUUUCUUCUCACCAUUUCAGGUUCACUAUCUAUCUUCUGUCUAAUUCUGCAUUUAUUCCCUUUAAUUCAAUCUUUAUAUGUUAUUUAUCUCGAACUAGUCUUAUUCUUUUAUUUGAAGAUAAGUAUCUAUGGAAUAUAUAGACCCUUCUAAAUCUCCAGCUUGGAUACAGCACCAUGUCCAACCUUACCUUUCAGAAACAAAAAUAACUUGCAUAACUCUGGGAAAUGAGGUAUUCAAUAGCAAUGAGACUCAGCCAAUGUUGAACCUUCUUCCAUCAAUGCAAAAAUGUGCAUGGUUUGUGAUAGAACCCCGAAAUUCAAGAUAAAGAAAUUGCAUUAUUGAAUGUAAAUAGGCGAGCUUAAGAGCCCUGCAAUGGUGGUAAAACAAAAAAGAAAAUGAUAAACCAGAGUUCAGAGAACUCCUACCAGAGCUCAGAGAACUCCUACCAGAGCUAAGCUCCUAGACCAGAUAGAACUUCUCUCCUAAACAACUCUUAACAAACUUUAUGAAUGCCUUACUCUCUAGGCUUUCCUCUCUUUUAUAACCCCAUUCACAUGACAAUCAAUGUCACAUCAUUAAUAAUUCUGAAUGGAUGAUUUAAUAUCCUUUUUCUCUCCCCAUUCACAUGACAAUUAGUGUCACCUUAUUAACUAACUUUUACUUUCUAUCCCUGAACCCACUUCGACCUUUCAGGUUCCUAUCAGUUUGAGCCAGCCCAAAAAAAUUACAAGUGAUUUAUAUGCCCAGUCUAUGUAAGAAUAAACAUCCACUCAUACCUAGUGACUACCUAACAUAGUUCAAUAAUAGCAUCUCAUAAGGAUUUCGAGGGGGAGAAGCAGUCCCUCCUUGCUAUUCACUAACAAGUAAAAUUGUGUAAAAAAAAAAAAAAAAUAACAACCACUUCUAACAUAUCAUGAGGAGACUUAGACUCCACAAUAAAAAGGGCAACCCGGUGCACUAAAGCUCCCGCAUACGCAGGGUCCGGGAAGGGGUCCCACCAUUAUUGGUGUAUUGUACGCAGCCUUACCCUGUUUCUUACACAAGAGGCUGUUUCCAGGACUUGAACCCGUGACCUUUCAGUCACAUGACAACAAUUUUUACCAGUUGUGCCAAGGUUACCCCUCAGACUUAGACUCCACAAUAGAGGAACAUAAUUAUACAACAUUCUAAAUAAAACCUAAAUCUAUAGAACCAUGUCCAGACCAAACUUCAAGAGGCAGGUAAAGAUUACUUUUUCUUUGGAAGAAACGGGUGAAAAGGCAAUAAGCCUUUUUGCUUGCACAUUAAAUGACACAAGGGUCCAUUGAUGCAUUCAGAGGAAAAUUCCAAAGACAUAUAGCAUCAUAGAGCUAUAGGAAGUGACUCUGUCUGCAAUGUAACGCAAGUGAGAAAAGACAGAGUCACUCGUCCUCUAAGAGUUUACUCGCUAGAAUAUGCAUCAGGAUGUCCACCUGCAUCCCCAAGAAUGAUGCCCUAACUAACUGUGCAGUAAUCUCCAUUCAUAUAUGUUGCAAGAUUAACAACAUGCCUUAAGUUCUUCCAUUUUAAGCACAAUGAAUGCAUGAUAUACUACAAUAAGUGUAUGACUUAACAGUACGUGUAUAGAUUUCAUUUAAGCAAGAUUUCAAUUAGCUUUAAACAACAUAUAAUAUUUCCAAGAAUCAAAUUUAACAUCAAAAUCAACAAUUAUGUCAGAAAUAGAAUCAUGCUUCCUACAAGCAUGCAAUUUCUAAAUUCUAAACUAUAUUUCUAGUGACCAAACAAUUUCAAGGCCAGACCAGACCUUAGUUACUGAUUUAAGUUUAGCAUUCUAAAAUAGUUAAGCUUCCCAAGAUUAGAAUCAUGUAGAAUUACAAGUAUAACUAAGAUAAAAAUAAAUGAAGUUACUUGUUUUGUGCCAACUCAACUUAGAAGCCAUAAGAUAGGCUCAGCAAGCCAAGUCUUAAUCACCUUGUUUUCCUACAUCUGGUACUUCUUCUUAAGUUCAAUUAUGAUUAAGAAAUUCUGUCUCAAUACUGAAAAAAUUAGAAUUAUGCAGCAAAACAGAUUAUGCGGGGACAACUAUAUUUCAAGGCAUAUUUAAGUUGAUUAUGAAGCUGUAAUGAGGCCAUAGAUACUCAUUAUGCAGCAAUUUCAUUUAGCUAAACGAGCACACCAAGUCCUUCUUACCCAUAUGCUGGCUAUCAAAUCAUUUGUUAAGGCAACCCUUCCAUCGAAAUUAGUCUGUAUAACAGUUCAGAUCAUUCAAAGUUUCACAUAAAUGUAAUUAUCGGUAUGCAGGGGUGAUCUUUUUGGGUUGUAACAGCUUGCCUUUUUGCACUUCUCGUGCGUGGCAUUUCAUAUAUAUAUAUAUGCUGAUUCAAAAAAAAAAAAUGUAAUUCAAAGCAGAAAGGUAUACUCACAUCCAAAUCUGCAGAUAAGAGGGUGUACAACUUUCAUAACUGAUUGAUGGAACUCUCAAUGAGGCAAGAGAAUAUCAUAUAGAGAAAUCGAAAUGGAAGAUAUACGAGAAGUAUAAAAGUUUUGGUAAACACAGUUAACAAAAACAAUAAAAAAAUAUCUUUUCCACUAGCAGAGGCAAGUACAUAAAAUGAAAUGAUGCUAUUGAAUAGUUUCAAUCUUACAAUAGACCUCGAUCAUUUCACAAAGAAGUUUCUCUGCCAUCUCAUUUUCAUCUUUUUUGAACAGAGAAAGGAUAAUUAUUUCAUAAGUUUUAGCAUUUGGAAUGCAGCCAUUGUCUUCCAUUUUUGAUAGCAAGGUCAACGCUUCAUCAAACAAGCCCUUGUCACAAAAGCCUUGGAUCAUAACAGUAUAUGUAUAGACAUUUAGAUUAUGGCCUUUGACCAAAAGAUCUUCAAAAACCUUCCGUGCAUCCUCCAAUUUCCCACUUUGGCACAAUCCCUUGAUAAGAAUAGUGUAUGUGUACAUAUUUGGUUGAAUACCCUGGUUUUUCAUCUGUGUUAAUAACGCAAUUGCAUUGUCAACCUGAUGGUUUUUGCAUAAAGCAUCCAAUAUAGAACUGUAAGUAACUAUAUUAGGUGGUUGACCUCUAUCAUGCAUCUCAUCCACUAGCUUCAAAGCAUAAGAGAUUUUCCCCGAUUUACAUAAACCAUCAAUAAGGGAACUGUAAGUUACCACGUUAGGAAUAAUUUGUUUGUGAUGCAUUUCUUUGAGUAGUUCCAUGGCUUCAUCCAUCAUUUUAAUCUUACAAAACCCAUUAAUCAAGAUACUGUAACUCUGAAUAUCAGGACUCACUCCCAACUGAGCCAUAGUGUUGAAUAUACUCUUAGCCUUAUUCACUUGUUUAACUAGGAAAUAUCCAUCCAUUAAAGAGUUAUAAGUAACAACGCCAGGUUUAAUGCCUUGUAUCAUCAUCAUAGCUAACACAUUUUUAGCUUCUUUCACCCUUCCUUCCUUACAAAAUCCAUCAACUAAUAUAGUAAAGGUAUACACAUCCGGGUUGAUGUUUUCCAAUAUCAUUUUAUUAAACAGAUCAACUGCAUCUUUCAGUUUACCAACAAUGCAAUGCUUAUCAUGGAUCUUACCAUUGAGACAGAGACCCUUGAUGAGUGUAUUCAAUGUUAUGGUAUUUGGCUUGUAACCCAUUUUGAGAAUCUUUGUCAAAACAGAGAAAGCAGAAGGGAUGUGACCCAAUUGACAGAAAGAAUUGAUGAGAAUGUUGCAAUUGACUAAGUUAG
rnacentral:lncRNA from 1 species